rnacentral:lncRNA from 1 species
GCACCAUCUAACCAGCUGCCAGCAUAAAAGCAGGAAUAGAAAGCACCAACUUGCUAAGUCUUCUGGCCUCCAUCUUUCUCCCGUGCUGGAUACUUCCUGCUCGCGAACACUGGACUCAAAGUUCAUCAGCUUUUGGACUCUUGGACCUACACCAGUGGUUUGCCAGGGGCUCUCAGGCCUUUGGUCACAGACUGAAGGCUGCACUCUCAGUUCCCUACUUUUGAGGUUUGGGGACUCGGACUGGCUUCCCUGCUCUUCAGUUUGCAGAUGGCCUAUUGUAGGACUUCACCUUGUGAUCGUAUAUUUGAAAAAAUCUAUAGGAAAAAUGUUGAAGGACCAAGAGAAGUGAGAAGAUAGAGAAAUGUCUUGGAGACAGAAAUGAUCUAAUAUACUAUGGCAUGGGAUGAUGGGGGACCAUGAGGGAACUAGAAGUAUCAGAGCAGCAGCCAGAUCUCUGGCUUACCCAACUCAUCACACGGUGGUUGUACUAACCAGCUCGAAGACCUGUGAAGUCUCCAGAACUGAAAGAAAGACUUGGCAGGAUGGAUUUCUAAUGGGGGCUCUCUUUCUGCCUGGCAGGUGGCUGCCUUCCCACUACAUCCUCAAAUGAUAGAAAGAGAAAGAACUCUGGUCUCUCUUCCCCCUACCUUUUUUUUUUCUUUUUUUAAGAUGGAGUUUCACUCUGUUGCCAGGCUGCAGUGCAGUGGUGUAAUCUCAGCUCACUGCAACCUCUGCCUCCCGGGUUCAAGCGAUUCUCCUGCCUCAGCCUCCCGAGUAGCUGGAACUACAGGCACACGCCACCACACCCAGCUAAUUUUUUGUAUUUUUAGUAGAGACGGGGUUUCACUGUGUUAGCCAGGAUGGUCUUGACUGCCUGACCUUGUGAUCCUUCUGCCUCGGCCUCCCAAAGUGCUGGGAUUACAGGUGUGAGCCACCGUGCCCGGCCUCUCUUCCUCUUUUUAUAAGAACACCAGUCCAAUAGGAUUAGGAUCUCAUCUUUAUGACCUCAUUUCAUCUUACUUACCUCCUAAAGAUCCUGUCUCCACAAGCGUCACAUUAGGGGUUAGGAUUUCAACAUUUACAUUUCGAGGGAACAUAACUUAGUCCACAGCAAGGAUGUCAUUUACUGAGAUGGAAAAGACGGGGAAAGAACACUGGAAAAAGAUAAGUCUACCCUCGUCACAAAGUGAGGAUAUUAGAUUUUCAAAUCAACAAAGCUGACCAAAGGUAGGGGGACCCAUUACCACAAUGAAGGUUUUGAAAUAAGAAUAACAGCACCAUCAAUCUAUCACUCACUUUCCUUAACCAGGAACUGUGACAGGUGCUUUCUAAGCAUCAUCUCAUUUCCUUCUCUUCUACUCCUCAUAUUACAGAUGACAAAGCUGAAGUACAGAGAAGUUGAGUCACUUGUCCAAGGCCAUAUGCUGGCAAAUGGUGGAAUGGGGCCCUGUCUGAUGUCAGAAUCUACACUUUGUUUCAUUCCAUUCCCCCACAGUGGAAAAUCUCUGACUUUGGAGUCAUAGAGGUCUGCGUUGGAAUCUUGGUUUUGCCAUUUACUUGUUGAGAGGAUUUGGGUAAGUGAUAACUUCUCUGAACUUCAGUAUCUUCAUCUUUAAAAUGAAGACUAUAAUAUCAUCCUCUCAAGGCUUUCAUGACAAUAAGGUUGUGUACGGACAGUGAUUGCCACAGAGCAAGCACUUCAAGGGGGCAGCAGCUAUUGUUAAUAUUACCAUUUUGUUAUGUACUUUUAUUCACCCUAUGCUCCCUUCCCUGGAGGCCCUCAGGAAUGUUACUUCUCUGACAUCCCUGACAAUUUUUACCCCCUUGUUCACAAGUAUCCUCCUCACAACAGACCAACAGACUGGAGUGCCCUUUGGGUAGGGAUGGGCCCAGAAUGGGUAGGGCUGGAUGUUGUGACUCAUUGCUUCCUUCCCUCAUUCCUGACCACCUAUAACUGCCAAAUGGGAUAAGAUGACCAGUAUCUCAGCCACAGUAUCUCAGGACAGGCCUGGCUUCACACACUGAUCCCACUGUUAGACCUUUCCCAUUUGUGGGGCUCAUAAAAUGUUCUGCAUAUUUACAAUAACCUGAGUUUCUACUCCUGCUGUUGCAAAGCAGUUCAGUGGAUGUCCUGCCCUGUGCAAAUCUUCCAGUUGCCGCUGACCAUUAUUCCAGGUCAUUAUUCCAGGUAGAGUUUCUCAGCUAUCAGGCCCCGUAAAGAGCCCUGGGCAAUAGACAUCUCAGGUCAGCUUGCACCAGUUUUAUGGCAUUGAGGUAAACAUGUCCCAUUUCUGGACCUGAGCGUCCUCAUCAGAGGCUAGGUUAGACGGAGCUCUAAGAGCCACAUCAACCCUGGGGCUGAGCAUCUGUUGAGGCCCCAGCUCACGUAGGCUCCCAUGUUGAUUUUCGAGUGAAACGUGGAAAGCGUGUGGUUCAGUUGCACAGUGGAGGUUGGUUGCACCUCCCAACCCCCAUCCUUAAAGUGUGCCUACUUCUCCAUCAGAAAGAAAACCUAAUAAGGUGAAAAGCAGAUUUCAUAAUUCCUUGUAAUUCUCUUUGAGGGCUUCACAACAUGGAUUUUCUGUGCAAUUACCUACAGAGAGCAGAAGCGAUUAGAAACGCAGAAAGUUUUCUGGGUGUCAUGUUAAGGCCUGACAUGUGAGGAAGGAGGCUUAGAAGGCUGCACCCUCAGGAAAAAAGAGUUUAGCACUCAUUUACACAGGGCCUGUUAGGUGCCUAGACCAAGCCCCAAAUUGUUGAAAAAUAAUAUCUUAAAUAUACAAACAUCAUCUAUGUCCUUAAGGCUAUUACAAUUUACCUCAAAAGACAAAAACAACAUGAUUCCCAGAUUCCUGUUUUUUAAAUAUAUGGUGGUUUAUUCACACACAGUCAAGAUUCCCUAUGGCUCUGGGAACCUACACUCCAGGAGGAGAUGGGGAGGGAAUGACCAAGUGACUCACAGAGCCCAAGGUGCUGUCCACAGGAAGGUAGUUGUCACCUCAUGUUUAUGGGAUAGUGGGAGAAGGAGCAGAGAUUAAGGCGGGAAUGGGAAGUGACCCCUUGCUCAGGAUCACACAGUUAGCUUGUCAGAGAAAAGCCCAGAAAAGGUCCUGGCCAGGCCUCAGGUGACCCCUGCAGACACAGACUGCACCACUACAGGUUGGCCUAGGGGCAGGAGUUGGGAUCUUGGAGUUGACAGCCAUUUUUCUCAGCUGUAAAAUGGCUCAGAGGAUUUUUGUCAGGGUUGCCACUCUGCUUUGUAAACUAUGAAACACUGUAUAUGCGUGACCCAGAUAUUUAGAAAAGAUGAAAUAAAGCCUCAUUAUUAUGCAUCAUUGAUAUUUUAAAUUACAUGUAUUAACAAUAAUAACAGGAUUAAGCCCAUAGAAUCUCAAGAGCUAGAAGUGUUCUCUCAUCAGCCUUCCUUAUCUGGUGUUGGCAUCCCCUGUUCUCUAUCUGUGCCAAGUGGUAUUAAUCUCAUUACAAAUGAUGAACACAUUUAAUUUCAGAAUCCUCCCGGAGAAGAGAGCUACUUUAGGAGAAAUUCUCAUAUACAUCCUCCAGCCAGCCUGGUGUUCAAUGGCUUGAGUGCCAGGCCUGUGGGACCUGUAGUGGGGAGGGCCAGGCCAUCACUCUGACCCUCUUGGGAAACCCAGAG